rnacentral:rRNA from 1 species
AUGCAAGUCGAGGGAAACGAUAUUGGAAGCUUGCUUCCGAUGGGCGUCGACCGGCGCACGGGUGAGUAACGCGUAUCCAACCUUCCCGCAACUGGGGAAUAACCUUGCGAAAGUAAGACUAAUACCCAAUGACGUCUCUAGAAGACAUCUGAAAUGGAGUAAAGGUUUCGGCCGGUUGCGGAUGGGGAUGCGUCCGAUUAGCUUGACGGCGGGGUAACGGCCCACCGUGGCAUCGAUCGGUAGGGGUUCUGAGAGGAAGGUCCCCACAUUGGAACUGAGACACGGUCCAAACUCC